GAUGAACGCUGGCGGCGUGCCUAAUACAUGCAAGUCGAGCGAACGGACGAGAAGCUUGCUUUUCUGAUGUUAGCGGCGGACGGGUGAGUAACACGUGGAUAACCUACCUAUAAGACUGGGAUAACUUCGGGAAACCGGAGCUAAUACCGGAUAAUAUUUUGAACCGCAUGGUUCAAAAGUGAAAGACGGUCUUGCUGUCACUUAUAGAUGGAUCCGCGCUGCAUUAGCUAGUUGGUAAGGUAACGGCUUACCAAGGCAACGAUGCAUAGCCGACCUGAGAGGGUGAUCGGCCACACUGGAACUGAGACACGGUCCAGACUCCUACGGGAGGCAGCAGUAGGGAAUCUUCCGCAAUGGGCGAAAGCCUGACGGAGCAACGCCGCGUGAGUGAUGAAGGUCUUCGGAUCGUAAAACUCUGUUAUUAGGGAAGAACAUAUGUGUAAGUAACUGUGCACAUCUUGACGGUACCUAAUCAGAAAGCCACGGCUAACUACGUGCCAGCAGCCGCGGUAAUACGUAGGUGGCAAGCGUUAUCCGGAAUUAUUGGGCGUAAAGCGCGCGUAGGCGGUUUUUUAAGUCUGAUGUGAAAGCCCACGGCUCAACCGUGGAGGGUCAUUGGAAACUGGAAAACUUGAGUGCAGAAGAGGAAAGUGGAAUUCCAUGUGUAGCGGUGAAAUGCGCAGAGAUGUGGAGGAACACCAGUGGCGAAGGCGACUUUCUGGUCUGUAACUGACGCUGAUGUGCGAAAGCGUGGGGAUCAAACAGGAUUAGAUACCCUGGUAGUCCACGCCGUAAACGAUGAGUGCUAAGUGUUAGGGGGUUUCCGCCCCUUAGUGCUGCAGCUAACGCAUUAAGCACUCCGCCUGGGGAGUACGACCGCAAGGUUGAAACUCAAAGGAAUUGACGGGGGCCCGCACAAGCGGUGGAGCAUGUGGUUUAAUUCGAAGCAACGCGAAGAACCUUACCAAAUCUUGACAUCCUUUGACAACUCUAGAGAUAGAGCCUUCCCCUUCGGGGGACAAAGUGACAGGUGGUGCAUGGUUGUCGUCAGCUCGUGUCGUGAGAUGUUGGGUUAAGUCCCGCAACGAGCGCAACCCUUAAGCUUAGUUGCCAUCAUUAAGUUGGGCACUCUAAGUUGACUGCCGGUGACAAACCGGAGGAAGGUGGGGAUGACGUCAAAUCAUCAUGCCCCUUAUGAUUUGGGCUACACACGUGCUACAAUGGACAAUACAAAGGGCAGCGAAACCGCGAGGUCAAGCAAAUCCCAUAAAGUUGUUCUCAGUUCGGAUUGUAGUCUGCAACUCGACUACAUGAAGCUGGAAUCGCUAGUAAUCGUAGAUCAGCAUGCUACGGUAAAUACGUUCCCGGGUCU
rnacentral:rRNA from 1 species